CAGACUGGACUCGAAAAUAAUUCAAGUACAUUUUGACCUCUUGUACGAACUGAAUUUAUAUAUAUUUUAUAUUUGUCCAAUAUAUUUUUAUAUUAAUAAAAA